rnacentral:rRNA from 1 species
AUUGAACGCUGGCGGCAGGCUUAACACAUGCAAGUCGAGCGAGCGGCGGACGGGUGAGUAAUGUCUGGGAAACUGCCUGAUGGAGGGGGAUAACUACUGGAAACGGUAGCUAAUACCGCAUACCAUCAGAUGUGCCCAGAUGGGAUUAGCUAGUAGGUGGGGUAAAGGCUCACCUAGGCGACGAUCCCUAGCUGGUCUGAGAGGAUGAACCGCCACACUGGGUCUGAGACACGGUCCAGAAUCCUCCGGGAGGCAGCAGUGGGGAAUAUUGCACACUGGGCACAAGCCUGAUACGGCCAUGCCGCGUGUGUGAAGAAGGCCUUCGGGUUGGAAAGCACUUUCAGCGAGGAGGCGUUACUCGCAGAAGAAGCACCGGCUAACUCCGUGCGAGCAGCCGCGGUAAUUC